rnacentral:misc_RNA from 1 species
GAUGAGAACGUAGCGAAAUGCGAUAAGUAGUGUGAAUUGCAGAAUUCAGUGAAUCAUCGAAUCUUUGAACGCACAUUGCGCCCCUUGGUAUUCCAUGGGGCAUGCCUGUUCGAGCGUCAUUUGUACCUUCAAGCUCUGCUUGGUGUUGGGUGUUUGUCUCGCCUCUGCGCGCAGACUCGCCUCAAAACGAUUGGCAGCCGGCGUAUUGAUUUCGGAGCGCAGUACAUCUCGCGCUUUGACAACAAAACGACGACGUCCAAAAAGUACAUUUUUUACACUCUUGACCUCGGAUCAGGUAGGGAUACCCGCUGAACUUAAGCAUAUCAAUAAGCGGAGGA